GACGAACGCUGGCGGCGUGCCUAAUACAUGCAAGUCGAACGGUCUUUUCUAUGGAAGCUUGCUUCCACUGAGAAGAUAGUGGCGAACGGGUGAGUAACACGUGGGUAACCUGCCCAUAAGAGGGGGAUAACAUCCGGAAACGGGUGCUAAUACCGCAUAGGUUUAUUGAUAGCAUGAUCGAGAAAGGAAAGACGGCCUUUGUGCUGUCGCUUAAGGCUGGACCCGCGGCGUAUUAGUUGGUUGGUGAGGUAACGGCUCACCAAGACGAUGAUCCGUAGCCGACCUGAGAGGGUGAUCGGCCACAUUGGGACUGAGACACGGCCCAAACUCCUACGGGAGGCAGCAGUAGGGAAUCUUCCGCAAUGGACGAAAGUCUGACGGAGCAACGCCGCGUGAGUGAAGAAGGUUUUCGGAUCGUAAAACUCUGUUGUCAGAGAAGAACAAGUCGGAGAGUAACUGCUCCGGCCUUGACGGUAUCUGACCAGAAAGCCACGGCUAACUACGUGCCAGCCGCCGCGGUAAGAC
rnacentral:rRNA from 1 species